GGAUGUGAGGGUGAUCUGGCUACAACAUCUGUCACCCCACUGAUCUCAGGGUUGAUUUGGCUGCUCUGGCUGGCUAGGCGGGUGGCCCCUUCCUCACUCACGGCUCUAUGUGCCCUCCUCAAAUAGCGCUCUAGGUCAAAGAGGACAGCCUUCUCCAAUAGAGACGGACCAGUCUUUAGUCGAGGGUAUACAAGCAGCUGCAGUCCCCUGCUAGAACCUCCAAACAAGCUCUCAAGACAUUAGUUACUGUAGCCUCAUAUUGUUCAUGAAAUAUGUGCCCCAUAUGAAGAAAAUAUGUGAACAUCUAUUUUCUUUA
ensembl:misc_RNA 7SK 7SK RNA